rnacentral:lncRNA from 1 species
AUGAGUCAGAGUCAGAGGGAUGAAGUGUGAGAAAGAUUUAACCAGACAUUGCAGGCUUGGAAGAUGGAAGAAGGGGGCCACUGGCCAAAGAAUGCAGGCAGCCGGAAAAAGUAAGAGAGUGGAUUCUCCCCUCUAGAACCUCUAGAAAGGAACUCAGCCCUGCUGACAUCUUGAGGUUCAUCCAGUGAGACUCAUUUUGAACUUCUGACCUCCAAAACUGAAGGUGAGCAAUUAAUUGCAUAGAAGACCCAGGUCUUCCCAGAGGCUUUCUCGAAGGUCCUUGUUGAAGGCCUUGGAACAAGUAUUCGUAUUUGCCCCUUCCAUUUCAGGCAAAAUGGAAGCUCCCGCAGAUGGAGCUCUGCCUGAUCUGCCGUAGAUUCCGGGGACUGUUGGACAGUGACUUCUGGAACAGACACUCUUUGAAUUUUCUUUCUAUGGGAAUUGCAUAGUGCUGCGUUCGACGUGCUAAAGGAAACAUUACACUGAUAGGCAGAAAGAAAGAGAGGAAGAGAGAAGAGAGACUGAAAGGCAAACAGAAUCCACUAUCCUCCAUGGAGACAAACACUGUCAUGGACAAGCACCUGGACUAUCUCCUCCCGCAAAGAGAUAUGGGCUGGUGGGAAAGCUGCUGACUAGCCAAGGUCACAAGCUCUCUCCUCUCUGUAAGUGUCUCAAGGCCAAAGAUGGGCUGGUGGGAAAGCUCCAACCAGCAAAGCCAUAUGCUCCCCCUCCCCUCCCUAAAACCCCAAAUAAAAUCCUUCCUUUUAGCUUUUCGGGGAGUUUGGGAUUUCAGUGUUAGCUGCCCUCUCUCCUUGCUCAGCACUGUGCAAAAAUAAAAUUCCUACUUUCUUCCA